CAAGUCCUGCUGCUGCAGAAGGAAAGGAAAUCACCCCUGUUUUUUGGACUCCUCGGUCGAUUAAUGAGGGCUAUUGGUUGGAACAUCUGGAAAGGAUUUAACUGUUUCUCAUCAUCUGCUUGGCUGGGAAGCUUGGUUUGUAUUCAGAAAAGCACGGCAAUACCCACAUCACAUCAGCUGAGAAUCAAAGAGGUUUGGGGAGGGGGGCUUUAACAACAUGCAAUUACUCAAUAGAGCUAUUAAUGUUUAAUGAGUCAACACUGACCAUGAGAAAACACAUUAUACAUACAAUGGGGAGCACAAUCUCCCAGUCGUCAACUAGAGACCAUUCUUCAACAGAACAAAACAGGCAGCUUUGAAUUUUGACCACAACACUCCAAGCUUUGCAUUUAGACAGCAGCUUAUUGACUAAUUCAUUUUGAUGGCUUUAAUUUGUAGUUUUCUGGAACUUUCUUUUGUCAAUAAGCAGGAAUAGACUGAAUAAUACAAACACUUUUUCCCCCUGCAAUUAUAUUUCAAAAUGAUGGUUUCAAAAUAAACCAUUGUAUGGUUUAAAUACUUGAUUACUAGAAACAAAAUAAGAAAAACACAGCAAAGCCCUGGGAAUCAAAAUGCACUUAAAAUUCUCCUAACAUAAACACAUCUGUCGAAGUCCAGCUGUUUUCACCUGUUGUGAAGAGUGCCCAGGGACACAUUCACAACUGGAAACUCUGCUCCGCAGUGAAGCUGUUCACCCUCACAUUUCCUCGCUGGGGGCCAGUUGGUUAAUUUGCGUGUCUGCUGAAAUCUAGGCUAAAUCGGAACAUAUGGAAGGAGACAGUAACAAAAAAAAAUAAAAAUAAAAAUCCCAUGGAACUUUACAAUGUGCAAACCAAAUUACCAACAGGGGAGAGCAGAAGAUAAACACUCUCUCAUUCUUGGAACAUUCUUUCUAAUCUUCACUGAAAACAUUCACGACUAUCUUGAAUUAGAUCUAAACGAGUUCGUUUCAGCAGAUAAGCUUUCAUGUCGGUUGCAACAUGUUUUCAGGCUACUUCAGACCAUACCCAAAUACACCUGACUUUGAUUAAAGGUUAAAGCUAAGCCUUGCACACUUCCAUGCAACAACAGAUCAAGUUGUUUGUGACUGGGAAAAUCUGUGAUGUAAUGCUGUUGUAAAAUGAAGGUGGUGAUAAUGUGCCAACAACAAACAGACCUUGCUCCCGACAUUUUAGAGAAAUCAGGUCCCAGUGAGUCUGCAUGCUUCAAUUAACCUGAGUAAUGUCUCAUCCAGCUCACAAAGUCAUGACUUUUUUGUAUGUUUAUUUAGGACCACUUGCAUUUAUUUUGGUAUGCAUGCCUCUCUUCUUGUUGCUGAUACUCCAUUUCCUGCCCUUCUGCUUUUCCUGCCCUUGCAUCUGCUCACUCGUCCUGAUAUGCUUCUCAUGUGUCAUUACCGUUCCCCUUCUAAUGUAAGCAGGUUUGCUCAGACUCCAGUCAGAUCAGAUUAUUAAUUUCCCUGAAAACACACCUUUAGGACAGAGUGCUUAUUUGCAAGUGAUCAGAUUGGAUUUCUGUGUCCAGACCUCACAAACCUAAUUACAGAGACUUCAGUAAAUAUGUCUGUGGCCUUGACUGUGAAACAAAAUCCCAGUUGCCAGAUCCUGCUUUGGCUGAUGUUAACAAACUAAAUUGUAAGUUAUUUAGAAGGCUUGCAUCUGAUUUUCUUAACUUGAGGCAGGUUUGUGACAUCAUAGUCACUGUUGGUUUGUGUUUAUGCUAUUGUUUUGGUCUUUAUGCUUUUUAUAGGACUCAUCUAAUAAAUAGAUUUGCCAUAUUCACUAUUGAUUCCAUCUGCUGUUAUCCAAACACAACAAAACCUUACUAUUUAUUUAUUUUUAAAGAUUCCUGUGGUUUGUAGCAGACACACAUUGUUGUGCUGCUUCCCUUUCUUUCUUCCCUGCAUGUGGUGGCUGGGUGUGAUAGCUAUGUUGAUGUUCUAAUGUAGCUAGAUGAUGGCACAUGUGUCUGUGCAGGAUGGUAACACCCAAGUAAGUCUUCUGUCUUUUAUUUUUUUCUAAUGGUAUGUGUGGAAUCAGGAUUUUUUUUUUUCAUUCAGUGAUUGUAUUUGCUUUUAUGAUGAUGUGUUGAACAGAGAUGGGCAGUAACGCGUUACUUGUAACUUUCCCGUAGGAACGCUGCGUUACUGCGUUACUAAAACCGUGAUUUUUUGCGAGAAUGUCUCACGACAGUGACAUAAGCAGUGCGCCGUUAGUGACAACAGCUGUGUGCAGAUCAACAAUGGAUCACAUAUCGAUUGUGGGAGAGAGUAUGAGCGUGCAGCGUUUAAAGCGUGGAAGCACUGACCUUACUUUGAGUUUGAUUCCAUAAAAAGUGACAAAAACAUUAGCGUCAUCGUGCGUGGGAAGAAAACUUCUUUUUACACCGAAGAAAAACCCCUAAACUUCCAAGCAAGCACCGAGUGCGCAACGACGUAAUGGGAAACUCACAGAGAAAGUCGCGGAUUCUUCAACUGACCGCGGCACACCUGCACCAGGGUAAACCUCCGCCUACCGCGGUCCUGCUUUACAGGUGAAAAUAGAGCAACAGGACCGCUGAGUCUUUGACUUUAUUUAUUUUCUGCUGUGUUUUACUUGCAUCUAUUUGAAAGAGUGAGUGUAAACACAAAAAAUAUUUUAUUUUAUGUGCUGGAAUGUGUAGAAAAUAGCUUUAAAUGUUAAACUAAUUUAUUCAAGUCAGAGAAUGUUGCAUAUAAUUAAAUUUUUGCUUGAUGAAUAAAGUUA
ensembl:lncRNA